AGUGAACGCUGGCGGUAUGCCUAACACAUGCAAGUCGAACGGCAGCACAGUAAGAGCUUGCUCUUACGUGUGUCGAGUGGCGGACGGUUGAGGUAUACAUCGGAAUCUACUUUUUCGUGGGUGAUAACGUCGGGAAACGUACGCUAAUACCGCAUACGUCCUACGUGUGAAAGCAGGGGAUCUUCUGACCUUUCGCUAGUGAAUGAGCCUAUGUCGGAUUAGCUAGUUGGCGGGGUAAAGGCCCACCAAGGCGACGAUCCGUAGCUGGUCUGACAGGAUGAUUCGACAGCCUGUCACUGAGACAGGGCCCAGACUCCUACGGGAGGACGCGGUGCGGAAUAUUGGACGAUGGGGGAAAGCGUGAUACAGCAAUACCGCGUGGGUGAAGAAGGCCUUAGGGUUGUAAAGCCAUUUUGUUGGGAAAGAAAAGCAGCAGGUUAAUACCCCGCUGUUAUGACGGUACCCAAAGAAUAAGCACCGGCUAACUUCGUG
rnacentral:rRNA from 1 species